CACAUCAAUCCGUCUGAUCUUCCACGAAGAAUUCUCUGAUCCUUCUUUGAAAACCUCGCCGUCUUUCAUCCUUUUUUCUGGUUGCUGUCAUGGGGACAAUUCAGAGCAAAGCUGUGCUCAGUGGGAGAAGCUUUCCACACAAGUGUGUUUACGUCAUCAGAGUCAGUCUCGUGGCCCAACGGGGUUCUUGGUUCUCUCUAAUGUUCAGACAGCCACAAUCAACUAUCCUGAUCCUAUCAUGCCAGAAGAAGUGUAGGAUCCCCUGGAACUGGAGCAACAGAUGGUGGUGAGCUAACACGUAGGUGCUGAGAGCCAAACCUGGGUCUUCUGGAAGAGCAGCCAGUGCUUUUAACCUCCGAGCAACCUCUUCAGCC